GGGGAUAACAUUGGAAACAAAUGCUAAUACGGCAUAUAGUCAGAACCGCAUGGUUCUGAUUUGAAAGAUGGUUUCGGCUAUCACUUUUGGAUGGACCGGCGGCGUAUUAGUUAGUUGGUGAGGUAAAGGGCUCACCAAGACGAUGAUACGUAGCCGAACUGAGAGGUUGAUCGGCCACAAUGGGACUGAGACACGGCCCAUACUCCUACGGGAGGCAGCAGUAGGGAAUCUUCCACAAUGGGCGAAAGCCUGAUGGAGCAACACCGCGUGAGUGAAGAAGGGUUUCGGCUCGUAAAACUCUGUUGUUGGAGAAGAACGUAUGUGAUAGUAACUGAUCAUGUAGUGACGGUAUCCAACCAGAAAGCCACGGCUAACUACGUGCCAGCAGCCGCGGUAAUACGUAGGUGGCAAGCGUUAACCGGAUUUAUUGGGCGUAAAGCGAGCGCAGGCGGUUUUUUAAGUCUGAUGUGAAAGCCCUUGGCUCAACCAAGGAAGUGCAUCGGAAACUGGAAAACUUGAGUGCAGAAGAGGACAGUGGAACUCCAUGUGUAGCGGUGAAAUGCGUAGAUAUAUGGAAGAACACCAGUGGCGAAGGCGGCUGUCUGGUCUGUAACUGACGCUGAGGCUCGAAAGCAUGGGUAGCGAACAGGAUUAGAUACCCUGGUAGUCCAUGCCGUAAACGAUGAAUGCUAGGUGUUGGAGGGUUUCCGCCCUUCAGUGCC
rnacentral:rRNA from 1 species